UACUUGACUAGCUGAGAGGAGGUGCAUGGCCGUCGUCAGUCGUACUGUGAAGCAUCCUGUUAAGUCAGGCAACGAGCGAGACCCACGCCAACAGUUGCCAGCUCGUCCUCCGGGAUGGUGGGGACACUGUUGGGACCGCCUCUGCGUAAAGAGGAGGAAGGAAUGGGCAACGGUAGGUCAGCAUGCCCCGAAUUAUCCGGGCUACACGCGGGCUACAAUGGUCAGGACAAUGGGCAUCAACACCGAAAGGUGAAGGCAAUCUCUUAAACCUGUCCUUAGUUCGGAUUGUGGGCUGCAACUCGCCCACAUGAAGCUGGAAUCUGUAGUAAUCGCGUCUCAAAAUGGCGCGGUGAAUAUGUCCCUGCUCCUU
rnacentral:rRNA from 1 species